GGGGGUUCUGGUCGAUCAAGAAUGAGCAGGGGCGACACCCCACUCUCAAACCCUAGAAAAGUUCACUAAAACUCUCAAUUGGAGGUGCAAAUCUGGUCCAAAACGAAAUUCGAGCAUAGAUUAUUAAUCCUCAUCACAGGAGGAUUACAAGUUUGACGCGUAACAAGCUAGGUGGAAGCUUGAUGAGGGAGCGGAUCAAACAAAUCAAGAAGGAAAGGAAAAGCAUAGUUCGAAUGCGAAGUAAGUAUAGCUUACACUAGUCAUAUAGUUUAGAAUGUCCUUUUGUUGUUUUGAUUUCGAACAAGACAAAUGGAAAGUUGAGAUAUGGUGUUUGUGGCGUGUAGUCGUACGGAACAAGAUAACCAAUAAGGGUAAAAUUGAAAUUUGGACACUUGUUGACAAUAAUUAUUGGUUUUGAAAGAUACAUAUUUCGUAAGCCUUAUUAGGCCAAAAAGCGUUAAGAGGUGAAUUAUAGUUAAAACGACCGUGCAGUGUAAAUCGGAACGAGUCGUGUAGACGAGAUGGCAAUAAGCUUUAUCUCGCCAAUAUUAUCGGUCAUUUAGACCAACGGGUCAAAAGGUGAAAAUAUCACUUUUGACAAUAUCGACUAAUGGUUUGAUGAGUUGUUUGAUUUCAGAAAUAAAUAUCGAGUGGAUAUUUACAUCGCUAUUACUUAGUAGAUAUUGAGGCAAGGUACUUAAAUGGGUCAAUGUAAUGAUCCGAGCCAGGUACGCAUAAUAAGAUAACUCUCAUUUAAAUGUAAGGCUAAUGAGAGUUAAACGAAGUCUAAAAUAAGUUUUUGGUUACCUUAAUAGGUAAACCAAAUGUUACGGACGAUGGUCAUUAUAUUUGUUAUAGGUUUCUAACCAUUACCAAGAGUUUAAUAAGGGUUUUAGCCAUGGAAAUGGGUUGCAUUUGAGGGUUUAGUUCGAAUUUAAAAUGACCCUAAACAUGAUUUCCGCAGCUUUUUAUACGGAUUUCGACUAAUCUUUAAAAAAUCAUAUAAAAUCAACCGUUUAUCCGAUUUGGGUGUUCUAUACCUUUUCGGAAAGCUUAUGAAGUAAAUUUUUACUGUUUUCAAUCAUAAGAAACAAAUGUGGUUGUUAAAUAGGCCAAAAGAAUGAAUUAAACAGCAGUUCAAAACCUUGAAAGCUGUUUGAAAAAUGAAAAUAUAGUUGAUGUGCUGAUUUUAUAAAAAUCAUAUAAAAUCAUAGAAAAUUCGUUAGAAGGUGUACCUUAUAUGCUUGCGAAGGUAUUGAAGUUUUCUACGAUCCAUCUUUGAACAUGUUAAUCUAGUUCGGGCUCUGAAUGGGUCAUAAUGGUCAAUUACAGCAGCUGUAUAAAAAAAUCGCUGCACAUUAAUAAUGUCAUUAUUAAUCCAGAAAAAGACAUAUGAUUGCGUAUACUUGAUUUAGUCAUGCCACCGUAAGUUACGGUGGAGCUGAUAUGAUUACGAUGGUUACAUACUGAGUUACGGUGGACCCAGAAACAAAGUAUAUUUUAUUUAGUUUAAAUUCCCGGAUUCGUUUAGACACGUUUUAAACUCUGUUUGACUAAAGUAUUUCAUGUUUAUGAAAUAUAGGUACUUUUGGAUGCCGGAAGACGAUCAAGCUCAGCGAAGAACCGAACACGAUAAAGAUACACGCUUCCGCACUUUGCCACGUUGUAAAUUUUAAACAACGAAUUCGAUCACGUUAUGUAGAAUAACUUAUGAUUUGUAAAACUUUUAGUAAACCCGUAUUUCUGAUGUAUAUGUAAUCGUGAUUACAUGAUAGUUUUCGUAAAAGAUUCAUUAAACCUUAAAUUAUAAGAACGGGUGUUACAAGUUGGUAUCAGAGCCUUGGUUUAAGAGAUUCGAGUAUGGUGGGGAGGAACCAUGCUUGGACUUAAACCUUAUGCUCUUGACAAAGAAUAGUGUUCGGUUCGAGGCUUGAUCGCAAAUCCGGUAAGUACAAGUACGUUAAUAGUUAGUAUGCUAAAGUGUUGUAAACAACACAUAGGGCUAUCGUGUGGUAUAUGUUACCCCAAUUUAAAUGAUUGACAUGGUUGACGAAAAUACGCGCGUUGACGCGUAUAGUAGAAAAAGCCUUGUAUUAUAAUACGGGCGAUUAUUGAAGUUGACAUUACUAACUCUUGUGAAUGUUUUAAUUGAAGGACACUCGCGUCUGAAGAUGACGGGAGUUGAACGAAUUAUGGAUAUGAUGAUGGAACGGUCCGAGGUAUGAUAGGAAGAGCAUACUCAUCAAGGACCAAAAUCGCGUAACGGUCGCGAACAAGACCAAUGACAAGAGAAGCCCGUACUUUUGGAUGCCGGAAGACGAUCAAGCUCAGCGAAUAACCGAACACGAUAAAGAUACACGCUUCCGCACUUUGCCACGUUGUAAAUUUUAAACAACGAAUUCGAUCACGUUAUGUAGAAUAACUUAUGAUUUGCAAAACUUUUAGUAAACCCGUAUUUCUGAUGUAUAUGUAAUCGUGAUUACAUGAUAGUUUUCGUAAAAGAUUCAUUAAACCUUAAAUUAUAAGAACGGGUGUUACACAACACCAUCAUCC
rnacentral:lncRNA from 1 species